GAAAUGCGAUAAGUAGUGUGAAUUGCAGAAUUCAGUGAAUCAUCGAAUCUUUGAACGCACAUUGCGCCCCUUGGUAUUCCAUGGGGCAUGCCUGUUCGAGCGUCAUUUGUACCCUCAAGCUUUGCUUGGUGUUGGGCGUCUUGUCGGAAUAUCCGACUCGCCUUAAAUACAUUGGCAGCCGGCACUUUGGCCUAGGAGCGCAGCACAUUUUGCGAUCGUAAGCCGUUGUGACAGCAUCCAUAAGAUUUAUUUUACCACGUUUGACCUCGGAUCAGGUAGGGAUACCCGCUGAACUUAAG
rnacentral:misc_RNA from 1 species